GAUUCUAAACAACGGAAUACCAAGGGCCAAUUGAAGGCAGUGUUGGAACAUACCCCUCUGGUAUCUUAAACGUCUUCCAUUCACCGCAUUGUUGGUUGACUUUGCAUCUGCAUUGUUCUGCCUUGUUUUCUCUCAUGUCCUUUUCAUGCGGUAAGAUAUUGACUUUUGUAUGGCAUGGAAGAUCGUCAUUUGAUGGACACAUUUUUUGACAAACUCGUUGUGUUUUAACCACAUUGCCCCCCUGUUUUGAUGUCUUCUGCAUGUCUCCAACCAUUGGAGGUUAAGGCAGGUGACAUUUUCGCCGAUUUCAAGGAUCAAAUCUUUUUGCCGGCCAGAUGGUUCAAUGUCUUAAUUUUAUUCUGAAUUUUUGAUAUCAUGCUCUCUCGGGGUAGUCCAAGUGCAACCCUUGAGGGUUGAGGUGCGACAGACGAUCUCACCAUGAUGUCCCUUUAGGCUCAUAAAAGUCAUGCCAGUGUGUCCCAUUUGUUCCCCCAAGAACCGACUGGCCGGUUUACGUUUCUUAACUUGUUUCCAAGAACUCAAUUUGUAGUUUGGUACCCAUUUUUCUGUGAAGAAUCUUGCAUCUCCGUCGCAUCACCGGCUUGUACUAUUGUUCACCGAAUCUAUUCUCAGCACAAUGGAAGUAUAAAAACUCUCUUGUAGUACUACACUGGAUGGAAAAAAUUAUGUUUUAUGGAAGAAAGGUCAACCAAGAUACUCAUUAUCAUGUACUAUCUCUCGCAUCAAGACCAUGUAAACAUAACCAUCAUUCAACGUGUCCA